rnacentral:tmRNA from 1 species
GGGGGCGCUCCGGUUUCGACGGGGAGUGGUCACCGCGGCAGGGGCAGGCCGAGGACGUCAUCUGGUCUCGUAAACCACGGUGGCACAACCAAAGAGUGCAGACGAAACUCUCGCUCUGGCUGCCUGAUUAGGCGGCCCGUCUCCCCGGGGUUUGCCCGCGUCCCCGGACGAGGCGUCGACCAGCGGGCUGGCCGACGAGGGCCGUUCGUCCCUCCGAGGUGAGACCCCAACGAACUAGCGGCGGCGGCUUGGGCGCCGAAUCCCUGGCCGCCGUGGCGAAUCCUCAAGUUCGGCUAAGCCUGUAGUCCCUGUCCGGCGAGCUCUUCGGACGCGGGUUCGACUCCCGCCGCCUCCACCA